GAGUUUGAUCAUGGCUCAGAUUGAACGCUGGCGGAAUGCUUUACACAUGCAAGUCGAACGGCAGCACGGGGGCAACCCUGGUGGCGAGUGGCGAACGGGUGAGUAAUACAUCGGAACGUGCCCAGUCGUGGGGGAUAACUACGCGAAAGCGUAGCUAAUACCGCAUACGAUCUACGGAUGAAAGCGGGGGAUCGCAAGACCUCGCGCGAUUGGAGCGGCCGAUGGCAGAUUAGGUAGUUGGUGGGGUAAAGGCUCACCAAGCCUUCGAUCUGUAGCUGGUCUGAGAGGACGACCAGCCACACUGGGACUGAGACACGGCCCAGACUCCUACGGGAGGCAGCAGUGGGGAAUUUUGGACAAUGGGCGCAAGCCUGAUCCAGCCAUUCCGCGUGCAGGAUGAAGGCCCUCGGGUUGUAAACUGCUUUUGGACGGAACGAAAAGCCUUCUUCUAAUACAAGAGGGUCAUGACGGUACCGUCAGAAUAAGCACCGGCUAACUACGUGCCAGCAGCCGCGGUA
rnacentral:rRNA from 1 species